UAAAAUUAAUUUUUUAUUUCUGAUUGGUACUCUUUUUUUUUCCACCCAAAACACAACCAAAAAAGAAAAAAGUUGUUGUGGAGGAUUCACCUCCUAAAGAAGAUCAAUACUUUGACGGUGAGACAUAUGAAAUAUCAAGUGACGAACUAGAUGAAUGGCUAAGGGAAAAUGUUGAUAAAUCUGCUGCAGAGGGGGAGAACCAAGCUGACCUACGAUCGACAGAAGGUCGCUAUGUGUCAUCUGAAACGUAAGAAGCUUUAUUAUUUAAUAAAAUCUUGUUAUCAUGAUUUGGGUGUAUUUUGUGAAACCA